rnacentral:rRNA from 1 species
CCUACGGGAGGCAGCAGUGGGGAAUAUUGGACAAUGGGCGAAGGCCUGAUCCAGCCAUGCCGCAUGAGUGAAGAAGGCCUUUGGGUUGUAAAGCUCUUUUAGUGAGGAAGAUAAUGACGGUACUCACAGAAGAAGUCCUGGCUAACUCCGUGCCAGCAGCCGCGGUAAUACAA